rnacentral:misc_RNA from 1 species
GGGGCGGGGGGGGGCGCAGAUGGAGGGGAGAGGAGAGAGCGGCCGGACCUCCCCCAUAUCUAAAAAAAGAGGCUCUUAGUCAAUUAGAGAGAGGAGAGAGCUUUCUUGGUUAGAGAGAGUUUUGUUUAAUGUAAAAAAUUAUUUAUGAAACUAGUAUGGUAGUACCUAUUUAUGAUUUAUAAUCCCUUUCUGGUUGCUAAUAUUUAAACAUUGGAAAAGACAUGAUUUCUUUCAAUCAUGAUUAAGAAUUCAAUCAAGAGGCACUUGAAUCAAGUUUUGAGUUUUAGAACUUCUCUCUCUGCCAUAGGGUUGAAGGCUAACCUACUAGAAUUGCAAAACAUAAGCAGCAAAGUAGGAUUUCAGCACAUAAGGCAGUAGCUGAUGAUCAAAUAUUGAAAUAAAAACUACAAAAGUAAAGCUAGAAGAGACGAGUAGCAAUUCAUCUAGCAAAACAACCUAACUCUUAGUACCUCUGAAAUUUUGCUCAAGGCAGUUAGAAAAUAAAGAAGCUAGGUAUUGAUGUUACCAAAUUUGAGCCCAUAACAAGGAAACUCAAGUAAGUUUUGUUUUCUUUGACUUAACGUGAGACUUCUCAGGGAUUUCUUCUUCAUCUUCAGAAGAGCUUUCGACCAGGUCAUCAGGGACAUCAUUAGGAACAUUAUGUGUGGUGAUGAAUUCCUUCAAUAUGCUCAUGCUUUUCUCUUUCAUAGAAACCAAUUCCUCUGAGAUGGUACUACCGUUGCUUGCAUCAACAGUGUAUAUUUCCGACCCAAGUUUAAGUGUGGCUUUAACAUGAGGCCCACAUGUAAUUGCAUCAUGUGCUUGAGCCUCCAUCACCUUUCCAAAUCUGUGAAUUUUCAACAGUUGAAAGAUCAGAUAUUAUUAAGUUAUGGUAUAACCAUGCUAAACUUAUCACUUUUUUUUUUUGUUCCAUAUUUGACUUAGACUUUUAAAGGAUCUAAUAUAUCUUCACAUCAGCAGUGAUUAAAUAAGACAUCAGAGACCCAAGCUGCAAUUCAUCCUACUCUACCUUCACUCACCACAACUUGAAAGAACUGUACAAUUGAGAUCAUAAUAGUCUUCUCAAAUGAAGGAUGUAACAACUAAAAUACCAAAAAGAAA